GACGAACGCUGGCGGCGUGCCUAAUACAUGCAAGUCGAACGCAUUUUCUUUCACCGUAGCUUGCUACACCGAAAGAAAAUGAGUGGCGAACGGGUGAGUAACACGUGGGUAACCUGCCCAUCAGCGGGGGAUAACACCUGGAAACAGGUGCUAAUACCGCAUAAUUCCAUUUACUGCAUGGUAGAUGGAUGAAAGGCGCUUUUGCGUCACUGAUGGAUGGACCCGCGGUGCAUUAGCUAGUUGGUGGGGUAACGGCCUACCAAGGCUGCGAUGCAUAGCCGACCUGAGAGGGUGAUCGGCCACACUGGGACUGAGACACGGCCCAGACUCCUACGGGAGGCAGCAGUAGGGAAUCUUCGGCAAUGGACGCAAGUCUGACCGAGCAACGCCGCGUGAGUGAAGAAGGUUUUCGGAUCGUAAAACUCUGUUGUUAGAAAAGAACAAGGAUGAGAGUGGAAAGUUCAUCCCUUGACGGUAUCUAACCAGAAAGCCACGGCUAACUACGUG
rnacentral:rRNA from 1 species